AUCCUUUUGUAGUUCCUAAGUGUGAUGAUUGAGUGUUCGUGCAGAUGUGUGAUGUGUGCUUGCCUCAAACCUUGUUACGACAUCGGCACGUUACCCACCUGACA